rnacentral:rRNA from 1 species
UACGUAGGGACCAAGCGUUGUUCGGAUUUACUGGGCGUAAAGGGCGCGUAGGCGGCUUGACAAGUCACUUGUGAAAUCUCCGGGCUUAACUCGGAACGGCCAAGUGAAACUGUCAUGCUAGAGUGCAGAAGGGGCAAUCGGAAUUCUUGGUGUAGCGGUGAAAUGCGUAGAUAUCAGGAGGAACACCGGUGGCGAAGGCGGAUCUCUGGGCCUGUCCUGACGCUGAGGCGCGAAAGCUAGGAGAGCGAACAGG